GACGAACGCUAGCGGCGUGCUUAACACAUGCAAGUCGAGCGGUAAGGCCUUUCGGGGUACACGAGCGGCGAACGGGUGAGUAACACGUGGGUGAUCUGCCUUGCACUUCGGGAUAAGCCUGGGAAACUGGGUCUAAUACCGGAUAUGACCAUGGGAUGCAUGUCUUGUGGUGGAAAGAUUUAUCGGUGCGAGAUGGGCCCGCGGCCUAUCAGCUUGUUGGUGGGGUAAGGCCUACCAAGGCGACGACGGGUAGCCGACCUGAGAGGGUGACCGGCCACACUGGGACUGAGACACGGCCCAGACUCCUACGGGAGGCAGCAGUGGGGAAUAUUGCACAAUGGGCGAAAGCCUGAUGCAGCGACGCCGCGUGCGGGAUGACGGCCUGGUGUAAC
rnacentral:rRNA from 1 species